rnacentral:rRNA from 1 species
UACGUAGGUGACCAGCGUUGUCCGGAUUUACUGGGCGUAAAGAGCGCGCAGGCGGUCGUUCAAGUCGAGUGUGAAAGCCCCCGGCUCAACUGGGGAGGGUCAUUCGAUACUGAUCGACUUGAAGGCAGGAGAGGGAAGCGGAAUUCCCGGUGUAGUGGUGAAAUGCGUAGAUAUCUGGAGGAACACCGGUGGCGAAGGCGGCAUCCUGGACCGAGAUUGACGCUGAUGCGCGAAAGCUAGGGUAGCAAACGGG